UACGGAGGGGGCUAGCGUUGUUCGGAAUUACUGGGCGUAAAGCGCACGUAGGCGGACAGUUAAGUCGGGGGUGAAAUCCCGGGGCUCAACCCCGGAACUGCCUUCGAUACUGGCUGUCUGGAGGUCGAGAGAGGUGAGUGGAAUUCCGAGUGUAGAGGUGAAAUUCGUAGAUAUUCGGAGGAACACCAGUGGCGAAGGCGGCUCACUGGCUCGAUACUGACGCUGAGACGCGAAAGCGUGGGGAGCGAACAGG
rnacentral:rRNA from 1 species